rnacentral:rRNA from 1 species
CGUAACAAGGUCUCCGUUGGUGAACCAGCGGAGGGAUCAUUACUGAGUUUACGCUCUACAACCCUUUGUGAACAUACCUAUAACUGUUGCUUCGGCGGGUAGGGUCUCCGUGACCCUCCCGGCCUCCCGCCCCCGGGCGGGUCGGCGCCCGCCGGAGGAUAACCAAACUCUGAUUUAACGACGUUUCUUCUGAGUGGUACAAGCAAAUAAUCAAAACUUUUAACAACGGAUCUCUUGGUUCUGGCAUCGAUGAAGAACGCAGCGAAAUGCGAUAAGUAAUGUGAAUUGCAGAAUUCAGUGAAUCAUCGAAUCUUUGAACGCACAUUGCGCCCGCCAGCAUUCUGGCGGGCAUGCCUGUUCGAGCGUCAUUUCAACCCUCAAGCUCUGCUUGGUGUUGGGGCCCUACAGCUGAUGUAGGCCCUCAAAGGUAGUGGCGGACCCUCCCGGAGCCUCCUUUGCGUAGUAACUUUACGUCUCGCACUGGGAUCCGGAGGGACUCUUGCCGUAAAACCCCCCAAUUUUCCAAAGGUUGACCUCGGAUCAGGUAGGAAUACCCGCUGAACUUAAGCAUAUC